rnacentral:lncRNA from 1 species
AUGCCAGAAUCUGUGCAGAUGCCAGAAAACUGUCCGUAUCAGUUUUUUGAGGUGGCAGAAAAAGCUGGAGAGGUACCACCGUUUCGAGGGAAUAAGGUCAGAAUUUACCGGCAGAACCCUUCGCUCUGCGAAGAAAUACGGCGGGACUGUAGGACUCUGGGGCCCGGCUUUCGAAAAGGAGGGAAGGCUCCAGAAACAGAGCAGAUGGCAUAUGGACAUGGUUCAAAGCAGCAGAGAUUACAGUUUAUAAGAAGGGACCAGGACCUGCUCUCCUUGAGGCAGGAAGAAGAAAUCACUGGGAUAAAAUAUGAGUCUUUGUAGUUGCAAGUCUUAUCCUUUGGGAUUGUACAAGCAAAAUUCACUGUGGAGGCAAGGUAUGUCAAAGAUUGAAGUGAGGAGUGACCUCUUUCUUGACACCAC